CAGUAGCCACGGGAAUACGAAGGGGGCUAGCGUUGUUCGGAUUUACUGGGCGUAAAGGGCGCGUAGGCGGACUGAUAAGUCAGGGGUGAAAUCCCAAGGCUCAACCUUGGAACUGCCUUUGAUACUGUUUGUCUUGAGUUCGAGAGAGGUAAGUGGAACUGCGAGUGUAGAGGUGAAAUUCGUAGAUAUUCGCAAGAACACCGGUGGCGAAGGCGGCUCACUGGUCCGGAACUGACGCUGAGGCACGACAGCGUGGGGAGCAAACAGGAUUAGAUACCCCCGUAGUCCCUGUCUCUUAUAC
rnacentral:rRNA from 1 species